rnacentral:rRNA from 1 species
GACGAACGCUGGCGGCGUGCUUAACACAUGCAAGUCGAACGGAAAGGCCCUGCUUGCAGGGUACUCGAGUGGCGAACGGGUGAGUAACACGUGGGUGAUCUGCCCUGCACUUCGGGAUAAGCCUGGGAAACUGGGUCUAAUACCGGAUAGGAGCCAUUUUUAGUGUGAUGGUUGGAAAGUUUUUUCGGUGUAGGAUGAGCUCGCGGCCUAUCAGCUUGUUGGUGGGGUAAUGGCUUACCAAGGCGGCGACGGGUAGCCGGCCUGAGAGGGUGGACGGCCACAGUGGGACUGAGAUACGGCCCAGACUCCUACGGGAGGCAGCAGGGGGGAAUAUUGCACAAUGGGCGCAAGCCUGAUGCAGCGACGCCGCGUGGGGGAUGACGGCCUUCGGGUUGUAAACUCCUUUCGCUAGGGACGAAGCUUUUUGUGACGGUACCUAGAGAAGAAGCACCGGCUAACUACGUG